rnacentral:rRNA from 1 species
UACGAGGGGUCCUAGCGUUGUUCGGAAUUACUGGGCGUAAAGGGCUCGUAGGCGGCCAACUAAGUCAGACGUGAAAUCCCUCGGCUUAACCGGGGAACUGCAUCUGAUACUGGAUGGCUUGAGUUCGGGAGAGGGAUGCGGAAUUCCAGGUGUAGCGGUGAAAUGCGUAGAUAUCUGGAGGAACACCGGUGGCGAAGGCGGCAUCCUGGACCGACACUGACGCUGAGGAGCGAAAAGCCAGGGGAGCAAACGGGGAUUAAGAAACCCU